rnacentral:rRNA from 1 species
AUUGAACGCUGGCGGCAGGCCUAACACAUGCAAGUCGAGCGGAGGACGGGAGUUUGCUCCUGGAUUUAGCGGCGGACGGGUGUGUAAUGCCUAGGAAUCUGCCUGGUAGUGGUGGCUUACGUCCGGAAACGGGCGCUAAUACAGCAUACGUCCUGAGGACGACAGAGGGGGAUCUUAGGACCUCACGCUGUCGGAUAAGCACAGGUCGGAUUAGCUAGGUGGUGGGGUGAAGACGUACUAGGGCGACGAUCCGUAACCGGUGUGAGAGGAUGAUAAGGCACACUGGCACUGAGACACGGUCCAGACACCGACAGUGGGAAGCAGUGGGGAAUAUUAGACGAUGGACGAAAGCGGGAUACAGCCAAGCCGGGGGUAUCAAGAAGGUCUGCGGAUGGGAAAGCACUGAAAGUUGGGGGGAAGGACAGUAAGAUAAUACCUUAAUAUAUUGACGGUACCAGCAGAAGAAGCACCGGCUAACUUCGUG